GACGCGUAUUUGAAGGAAUUACUGAAAACUAAACUAAAGUGAAGAAAUAACACGGAAUAUGUACGGUAAAGUAAAGCAUAGCUCGGCUUAAGCGCGUCUAACGUGACUGUGUUGAUACCCGAAUGACAACAAACAUCGGUUCGAAUUCCUACGACGACGGCUUCUGUCUCAAGUAUCAAAUCGUGCGUGACGCAUCGGUCGUGCCUGUUACAUCGGUCGUGCGUGUUACAUCGAUCGUUUGUUCGAAAAGUAUUUUACCGAUUCAGUUAAAUCUUUGGACAUUAAAAAAGUGUUUCGAGGUGUGUUUUGUUAACAACUGACUAUACUGAACGACUGCAUGAAAGGGCAAACAUCAAAAAUGCUGUGCUCCGAAAUUUCACUACUGUUGUAACCUGUUGGCCACCAUCUUGGAUAAAAGUCAAUCCAUAGCUUCGCCAAUAACGAAUCAAAAUAACAUCCGUAUCAACGACCGAUUUCCCAAGAAAAUUCAGUCACCCAUCUGAGCCUGUUUGAUCUUAACGAACCUUCAUCAAGUAUUCUCUGUUUUACCCUCAUCGAGAAGCAACGAAUGCCUGGAAAACCUUUGAUCCUUGGUCAUCGAUAAAUUCAAACACUACCGACGAAAAAAAAAAAGAAGAAAGAUGUCUGCUCGUUAAGAGAUUCACAGUCUGUUUUGAUUGGCUACAAAAGAGCUGCCAGGUUUACUGUGAUAUAGCAGAAAGAGGAAAUGUGAAAAGUCUCGAAGAAACAAGUGGUGUUUAUUAAGUAGGAAGAGGAAACUUUCAAUGACUUUACAACCUCUUGCUGCUUCGACAUUGCUACAAUUGUUGCACUGGGGUAAGUGGAGAAGCUGAAGAAUGAAGGGUAGACGUGUUCUUUACCAUUCGUCGGGCACAUUUAUCAGAAAAAGUCGUCGUUUCGUAAGAAGCAACGUUGUGUUCGUAACAAAACGCGUACACAAGGCAAGGUAACAGAGUUUUCUUGGUGUUGGAUGACGAAUGAACUAAAAUAGAUGACUCUAGAGGGCGGAUUGCGCAAAAACUUCACGAAGAGGACAUUAAUAACCGAUCAUUUUCGCGUGAAAACUUUAAUCACCGGAUUGAAAGUUCGAAGAUUUAUCAACGUUGAGUGAAAUUUAUGACGAAAAAUGAAUUGUCUCGUUGCAAUGCCGCCUAUUGUAAAAACAAUAUAAGGAAAGUAGCUCAGUCAUAUUAUCGGUCUGACGGUCUGAUUAAGCCAUUGCCACCACCAAUUCCCCAUAGAACUUAACAACGUAUUUGUUCACCCACCAUCGUCCCUGAAACCACUACUACUCCGAAUCCUACAGUUUAUUCUCGAGUUGACCACCGGAGGGUGGACACCACUCUACAAGCAUUAGGGUGUGAGCCACCUUUGGAAUCCUAAAACGAAAUGUUGGCUGCCCAGAGGGUUGUAACAGACCAACUGAAUAAGAGGAUAUGUGUUUGAUAAUACAUCAGUUUCCCACACUUUCUUUCAUCCAACAGGAUGUUACACGAACAUCUUGCGAGGAUAAGUUCCCUUGUGUAUAGAUCUAGGGUCGAGGAUAAAGAAUUUAAAAAGUACAGGUAUU